AGAACGAACGCUGGCGGCAGGCUUAACACAUGCAAGUCGAACGCUCGUAGCAAUACGGGAGUGGCAGACGGGUGAGUAACGCGUGGGAACAUACCCUCCGGUUCGGAAUAGCUCAGGGAAACUUGGAUUAAUACCGGAUACGGCCGAGAGGCGAAAGAUUUAUCGCCGGAGGAUUGGCCCGCGUUCGAUUAGCUAGUUGGUGAGGUAACGGCUCACCAAGGCGAUGAUCGAUAGC
rnacentral:rRNA from 1 species